rnacentral:rRNA from 1 species
UACGGGGGGGGCAAGCGUUGUUCGGAAUUACUGGGCGUAAAGGGCUCGUAGGUGGCCAACUAAGUCAGACGUGAAAUCCCUCGGCUUAACCGGGGAACUGCGUCUGAUACUGGAUGGCUUGAGGUUGGGAGAGGGAUGCGGAAUUCCAGGUGUAGCGGUGAAAUGCGUAGAUAUCUGGAGGAACACCGGUGGCGAAGGCGGCAUCCUGGACCAUGACUGACGCUGAGGAGCGAAAGCCAGGGGAGCAAACGGG